rnacentral:rRNA from 2 species
GGGGACCUGAAGUCGGUAACCGCAAGGAACCGCCUAGGGUAAAAUCGGUAAUUGGGGCUAAGUCGUAACAAGGUAGCCGUAUCGGAAGGUGCGGCUGGAAUACCUCCUUUUUAGAGCUCAUU